rfam:Picea glauca, whole genome shotgun sequence.
AAAUCAGUUUUUUUUAAAACUACCCAAAAAAUAAAUAAAAUUCCAG